rnacentral:misc_RNA from 1 species
GCAUAUACCAUCUACGCCAUACACACAUCCGCGGCCCUGCACAGCACUAGCCGCCGCUGUCGCAGGCACGCGAAGCCAGGGGGGAGGGGGCUCGAGCACAGAGCGAAGGAGAGAGAGAGAGAGACUCGGCGUGGCAGCGUUGGCAGUUGAUUGCUUCGCCUGUCUGCAUGCAGGCGUGCCGUGCCAGAGGAUGCACGUGCCACCACCGCAGAGGGCAAAGCCCGAGGCCUCGCAGCCGCCCAGCGGCAGCCCACCCCUCUCCUCCUCCGAGCCAGCGGCCGUACACCUGUACGACCUCGAUACCGUCUUUCUCUCCAAGACCGUCGUGUCUUUGACCGACGUCUUCACGAACUCUACAGAUGGCCCCUUCGACCUGUCGCCUCUGUGCGCCCCGCAGCAGCAAGGCGUGGAGGAGCAGCAGCGGCUUCAACAGGCAGCUGCCACAACAGCCUCGUCCCCCUACACGGGUGAUGCGCACUGCUCGCCUUCAGCAACCGGUGCAACAUCCGCGCACAUGUGCUCAGCAAGUCUGCCGUUCUCUGGCGGAUCGGCGCCGUUCACGUCCUCGUCGCCCAAGCUCGCCGCAUGGCGCAGGUCAAAUCGUGCGGCGGCGCUGCGACCGAAGGCCGUGGCACGCGGCGCGGACGGGCAGUGGCGCACCGUCUCUGCCGACCGCGGUGCGUCUGCGGGCUCCGCCUUCACACCUGCCUGCAGCAAGCCGCCGUCGCAGGAGGCUCACGCACGAAUGCUGCUCGUCCCGCUCGACUCCUACCACUUCCUCCUCGCCUACCACGACGUCGACGUGGCCGGGCAGUUGCGCGGCCGCUGCGACAAGCGGACCGCGAUGGCGACCGUGGAGCGCCUCUCCGCCGCCUCGCCUGGAUGCCGGCCCCCGCGCAGCGGCAUUUGUGUGGUGCGACGCCUAGAGGGAGAUCAGCGGGGCGCCACCAAGGCAUCGUCAGCCGCCACGGCAGCGCUAGCAGGCGCCGCAUCGGCGACGCGUCCCACCCUGUCCCGCAUCGCGCAUGGCCUGCCGCUGGACGCCUUCGAUGGUUGGGUACGCGACUACACCGCCUACGGACUGUCGUGCAACGAGGCGGUUCUGCGUGCAGCGUGGGAGGACAAGACGCGCGAGCGCGCCGAGGGCACUUUGGCAAUGCCGGCUGGGGCCGUGGUGGAGGUUGGAGAGUCGGCGGCCCCUGAACACGAAGCGGCAGGUGGAGGCAGAAGCGGCGAAGAGUGCCGUGUUGCGUGCGGCGGCAACAGUCGUUGCGACAACGUCGGUGGGGUCCACAUUGGUGUCCCGCCUGCAAGCUGUGGCGCAGAGGCAACGGUCGAGGGAGCGGCAGCACUGGCGCCGCAGCUGUCUGAUGCGCCGGCGGUGUUGGUGCCCGCCGAUGGAGCCGCGGUGGGGGAGGGCAAGGGCGCGGCCACAUUCGCAUCUCCUAACGCAGAGAGAGCGGCGAUGGUCUCCCCUUCGUUGGAUCGACUGCACUGCAGCAGCACCACAAGCUCCUCAUCAGCCGCCACGCCAACCCCAUCGCCGCCCACCGCGAGGAGCGAGGAGGGUGGCAAAGUCGGUGGCGCCGUGUCAACCACGAUGUCAGUUUCACUGGCGUCCACCGCUGCACAGCAGCAGCAGCAGAAAGAUGUGCUGUGGGAAGAAGAGCGACAGCGCACCCAGCGGGCGGCAGCGCAACUACGGCACCGCUUCCUCGUCUCUGACGGAGCGCAGCACGCCAUCUGGGCUCUGGAAGUGCGUCUGCCUGCCAUGAAGGUGCGCGUGGUUUCACCUGCGGAGUUCUACGCACUGGAGGUGGAAGAGAGCGACGAGGAGGUAGUGCCAGCAGCUGCCGGGCACGGCGAGGAUGAUGGCAACGAUGGUAGCCAUGAUGUGUCGGCGACACGCUGCGCUGCAGAAACACGAGAGGAUCCUGCUGCUGCACCUCCGCCGGGACUGGCGCUUCCUCGCAGGAAGACAACGUCUGCAAUCACGCACGGCCGCGCGGCCGUCUCAGGUCACCGCGACUCUGUCAAGGGCGCUCCCGGCACCGACGCAUCGCGGCCGCGCUCGCCAUCGCCGGCAGAUCCGUUAGCGACCGCCGACACCGACGAAGCAGACGACCGUGGUGACUCCAGACCCGACGGCAGUGACGCGCGUCGCUGCUCCACGUCGGUGGCGACGCACCACGCCGGUGCCAGCUGUAGCACCCGGCGCUGCGGCUGCUCCGCCUCCUCGGCAAGUCCAUCGCUGGCCAUGGCGGAGGCGGUGCCCACGCCGCUGAUAGGCGGCGCGCGCGGCUUCGUCGAUGGACACUUCAGCGUUGCACGCUUUAAUUCGCCGGGGUCGCUGUGCUGGCGCAUCGACGAAGACGAUGAGGAGGACAGCGAGAAUGACGUCGCUGGUGGUGGAAGCGAAAGCGGAGAUAUCAUCGAUCAUGCCGUGGCAGCAGCGUCGCAGGCGAAUCAUGAGCAGGGAAGCCGGGCACACACCAGGCACGGCCGCGUCGACCCCGUUUCGUACCUUCGCCGUCGCCGCCGCUGCACUGUUCUCUUCAUCAGCGACAUGGGCAACUGCGCGAUUCGGUACGCCAACUUCCACAACCGCCUCGUGCGCACCAUCACGGGCGUGGACGGCGUCCCUGGCUACCGAGAUGGCAGCUGCGCGUCGUCGCUCUUGCGCGGAGCGACAGCACUGGCCUGGUGCUCUGCUGGUCUGCUCUUCACAGACGGGGCGAACAACGUCGUACGGCUUGUCACGAACAUCUGCAAGCGUCGGGCGCAGGGGCGCGAGCGUGGCAACAGCGAGAGCACAACAGAAGAAGGCCCUGGCAUCCCGCUAGCACGCAGCGCCACACGCGCGACUGAGUCAGAGGUGCAAAGGCCAAGCGAGCUUGAGGUGUACCACGAGACCUCGACGGCAACGGAGCAGCCGCGCUGUGUCGGGGGCAAGCCGGCUGGCGACUCGCUCGGCACCCGCCUUGCCACAGCAACGGAGUCCCAGGACGGAGCGUUGCAAGAACUACCGCCCACACCGCCGUCAUCGAGCCCUCUAACACCUACGCAUGAAGGGGUGCCGCCGUCAUCGACGUGGAAGCGCGACGGCCCGGCGGCCGCGAUGCCGCGUGUUUGGACGCUGGCAGGUUGCACAAGGAACACCAAUGCUGAUCAGCAAGCGCACGCGGAUGCAAGUCUGACGUCCUACGUCGACUGCGCCGUCCCGUCGCGAGCACGUUUCGGCUACAUCAGCGACAUGGCCCUGUGGACCGACGAGACUGGCGACACGCAAGUACUGCUAGUCGACCAGACCCACCACGCCCUCCGCAUCCUGGACGUACACGGCGGCGUCUCCACCUACGUCGGGCCCUUGGACUACGAGGUGACGAGCAUGGCCUCGCCGUCAACGACGAGUACCCCAGCGGCCGAUUCGCUGCCACUAGGGCUUGUGUUUCCGUGCUGCCUAACUGUUGGCGCGCUCAUCAAAGAGCGAUCCCCGGCGCUGCUGAGCGCCGCCACUACCACCGCCGCUGCCACCAUGAUUACCCCUCAGCCCUACCUCUGCUCUUCCAGCCCGCUGCUCUUCACGGCAAGCGCUAUAACAGGCGCCGUGUCGGUGCUGCUGCCCAUCUCGCAGCGCAGUGCUCAGACACCUUGGAGCGUGCACGCGAACCAGCACCGACUGAAUGCCGCGGAGAUUAGAGAAGGAGAGGUCACGUGCAACGGCGAAAAUGACAAUGUCUCGAUGUUUGCCACCAUCCGUAGUGCGCUUGAGCUGGGCGUGGCCACCGAAGGUCGUCGAAUCAUCGGCGAAGCCGCCACGCCCUCUCUCAAGCACGUGGUGUUAGGGUGGGCCGCGGACGAGGCUGACGGCGACGGGGUGGAGAGCACACGCGCAGCGCGUCGGCUGUUGCGGGUGGAGAGUGCGCAGCAAGCCUUGCAGUAUCUUCGGCUGCGCUUCCCGUGGCUACUGCCGCCGUCCGUGCCGCAGCUGAGUACGCGCCUUGUUGCCGGCUGCGCCUGUCAUGUAUCCGGCAAGCGUCGCGGCGCCGCAGCCGCCGCCCCGGUAGCUGCACGCAACGCGGUCGGUCUUCCUUGCAACGCCGGCAGCGGCAGCCAAGGCGCUGGUGCAUCCUCGGGUGUACUGCCGAACUGCGCCAAGCGGGAAAAGGGAGGCGUGGCCACGGUGACCUCGACCGCGCAGCAGCGGCGACGAGUGCUCUUUCAAAGUCCCCCGCGCCAUCCUCCGAUCAUGACGCCCCGGUGCCCACCAGCCCAAACAGACGCAGCCGUGGCCGCAGCGGCGAAGGAGUUGGGGUCGCUGUUGCUCGAGCCGGCCCUGCUUUCCGCUACACCACCGCGCAUGGUGGAGGUCCUCGACACGCACCUCGACGGUGUCGGUGGUGAUGGUGCUGCGGCAGGCGAUCCAGAGGCCCUUUAUGCGAGUCGUAGUAGCCCACCCCGUGCCGUGUCGCCGCGGAGCUCCGACAUGGACCCCAAUAUCGAGGAGGGCGAAGGCGACUCGCGACGAAGCAGCGCCGGCAGCAACCCUCUCCAGUCGGAGUGUAAAGAAGAGGAGGAGCAGAAGGCCGACGGUGGCGAUGUGUGCGGUGGCCGCGUGGCGGCGAAGUGGCUGGCACCACCGCUGAAGAGUGUCUCUCGCUCCCCGAGCGGCAGCAGAAGCGGUGGACAGCAGCAGCAGGCUGUCGACCCCGCCACGUCUCCCUUAGCGCCGCCUUCGCGCACCUACGCCGGACAAUUCCAAGAGUGGACGCCAGAGCAGCGCCAACAGCGUCUGCGCAGCACGCAAGAAAUUCCCAUCUCCACAACGAGCGUCCACACAAGCCCAUGUGGGACGCCGUGUGCGCUGCACAAGCAGCAGCAGCAACAACAACAGGGGGAAGAGGAUGAUGGCAGUCCUUCACAAUGGUGCCAGUCCGCAGCCCGUGGGUCGCCGCCGCUAUCGUCGCCAAUGUCGUCGUCGCGCCCGCGUGGCGAGCGAGCCGCAUCCCCAAACAACCUGAGCGGUCGCGGCAGCCCACCGCUGACGCCGCGAGCGAUGGUGGCGCACCAGCUCAUGCAGCGCCGCCGCACCAGUCGAAGUAGCACUGCCCCGCAUGCUGCAUCAGUAGAGGGUGGUGCGAGACGGUCAAUCAAGUGUAAAAGAACGGCUGUCGCAGAGGUCCAUGAUAACAUCAGCCCAAUACCGCAGGCGCCGCAGCAGCCGGAAGGCUCGGAAGGUCGUGCCGCGCCUGUGGAACCACUAGCGAUGCCAGCUGUCCCUGAUCGGCACCUCCUGCAGCCGUAUCGCGCAGACCGGCCGUUGCACGACGCCUACGAUGCGGCAGUGCGUCGACUGUUCCGUGUCUACAGUUAUCUGGCGACCAAGAUCGUUACGACGACAACGACAACGACAGCGAGCACUGCCCCUUUAGCCGCAGGAGUCGGUGCGGGUGCGGACCCGCGAAUCGCUGCGGUGGGAAGUCGCCGUGGCAGAGCACCGUCGCCGUGGGCCACGCACCGGCCUCGCCAGGUGGAGCAGUACACCAUGUCCUUUGCGGCCUUCUUUCGAUUCGUCGUGCUCACCGGCUACGCCGACUACCUCGCCGAGGUGGCCGUUGCGGCGGUCACCGCGGCGGCGACGGGCGCGCCAGGCAAAGACGGCGCCGACGCUCGCGACGCAGCCCGUGCGAGCAGCGCGCCGUCACCAGUGUCGCUGCUGUGUCGGCUUAGCCAAGUGCAACAACGGCGAGGCGGCAGCAGCGGCGGCGCCGGGACACGGCGAGGGAGCGGCGCAUCCGCGUCCCCGCCGACAGCGCCACCCGGGGCGGCAGCCGCAGUGACAUCGUCGUCCUCGCCUUCCAGGCGCCCUACCCCCUCCGACGCGCUAGUGGUGCCGCUGGCCGCCACUGACGCCCGCGCCAUUGCGGCGGUGCUGUACGCGUGUGGUGUGCGCCAGAAGGGCUACCAUACAGUGACGCAGAUGGACUUCCAGAGUUUUCGAAGAGCCGCGCUGCUGCUCCACACAUGGACGCGUACGGCGACCUGCGCAGAGGCGGCGAGGAAGAGCGGGACAGCGGACGAUGACGGUGUGCACAGUGGACGAUGCAGCGCUCACCACCAGGCUGGCAGGCGGAACGGCACGGAUGCCGCCGCCUUCGCCUACGUCGACACUGUUCCUUCACUAGACGCCCUCACGUCGGAGGAGGUGGUGGUUGCCUACGCGGAUGUGUACGAGCGCGCCGUGCGUUGCAUCCCGGCCCUGGCGAUGUCAUUUGCACCAGACGGCACCAACAGAGAGGAGGCGGACCACAACGUGGCCGAAGCGUGCGACAAGGCCAGGCAGCGUAGCGAUGUGCCGCGGCAAGGCCGCCCAGUGAGCUCGAUGCGCGCAUCAGACAGAGCCCCAUCACUGCUCGUGGCUGUGGGCACUGGCUCGCCAGGCGCGACGCCGUCGCACCUAAGCAGUUCCGAGGAUGCGAUGGGUGGCACUCAUCACGGCGGCGGCUGUGCUGGUGGAAAAGCGGCAGGCGUGGAUGAGGCCCUCACCCCGCCUAUGUCGCCCAUCGCCACCGCAGGAGCUGCUGAUGACUUGUCCUGUUUCGCCCUAGACGGUGGUGACGCAACCAUUCUCUUCCCACCCUGUGGGCUUACACCGCACGAAACCCUCGCCCUCGAUGAGCUUCUGCGCCUCCUGCAGCGCAACGAAUCGACGCUGCGGCAGCUCUUUGAGGCUUACAGCGUGCCAAUCACCGUACACCGUUCACCGCAGUACGAGGCACCGUCGUCCGCAGCAGCCGCAGCAGCCGCAACCUCGAGCCCGAGCUCAUUGCUCACGAGUAGUCCGGAACUCUCGCUGGUCCUCGGCGACGGCGGGAGGGCAGUGGCACGGCAGCCGCGAUACACGUCAGGGAAGCCGUUGGCGUCCGUGCAUGUCGACGCAUCACCAGAAGCUGCACGCUAUCCGGUGGUCGUGCACCGCAAUCGUCAGUCUGCGGCCAGAGCUCGCGCCACGUCGUCUGCAAUGGCCGCUGCGGCAACAGCUGUAGCACCGCUGGACGUCGUGCAUGACUCCACCGACCUGUCUGGCGUCUCGGCACGGCAGCAAGACGUAUCAUGGAAGGUACAGCAGCUCUACACCAUGAGCUCUGUAGAGAACAAGGAAGCCUACGAGCGCACGAGUCGCGUGCUGCGUGUGAUGCCCUUUAAGCUGUUUGUAGAUCUCUGGCGCACACUGGACGUGUUCCCUUCGCUGAUGGGCACGGGGGCGAUGCAGCAGACUUUUUGCGAUGCGCUCACCACGCCCUUGCUUCGCGGCUUGACGUCGUCACCAGGGAACACAUCGGGCGCGCUGCUUCAAGCGCAAGAGCAGCCGCCACGACCGUCCUGCACUCGCUCUGAUACCCUACCCAACAGACGCACCGUCGAGCUGUUGUGCGCGCAUGGCGGGCUGCCCUACGCCUGCUUCGUCGAGUCCUUUGUCCGUGUGGCCCUCACCGUCUUCUCCCAUACGGUGGACCGGAUCGCCUACCCGACGGCCACUGCGAAGACGGCCGGGUUGAUGCAGUGGUGCAACAAACAGGUCACUCUAGGCCUAGUGGCGAAGCGAGUGCAGCAGCAACUCCGUGUCCUGGUGGCCAGGGGGCACGGAUCGAGCAGGGGAGCCUCGAUGGCGCCGUCUGCAGCAGCGGCAGCGGCAUCAGCGUCAUGUGCGACGCGAGCCGUGGGCGUCUUUCCCGACCAGCUGCGGCUCUUCCGCGUGCCAACAGCGCCAAAGGCGAGCGCAGCACCACCAGAGACAGGUUGAAGUACGGCUGCACAAACGAAGGGGGCGGGGCCGCACUCAGGGAAUGUGCUGCCCCCUCCUCUGCCCUCCCGCCUCCGUCCCUCCCUCUCCACACUCCCACACACUCUGCCUGUCAACCACCUUCGCUGUUGCCUAUGCAUACAUCCUCCUUUAGAUCAUUUUCUUUGCUUGUGUGUAGAUGUGGGAACCGCCUCACGUGUUGCACGCGCACGCACGCACGCAGUGGUCAUCGAUGAACGCUGUUUGGCUUAGGUGUCGCGCAUCAUUGCCACAUAUUGCUUCCAACGCGAAGAACGACCUCAGUUGAGACGGUGCUCCUGCGCGUUGUCUGUCCCUCGCCGCCGCCACCACUACCACCACCACCAAUCCCCAUUCCUUCAUCGAACUUGCGAAAGGCCGUGCAUGCCGUCCCACGCCGGGACGGGGCAGCAUGGGUGGGAUGCACACACG